GCAGAAAGCAGCACAGCCCUCCUCACUAGAAAUUUUCCACCUUAGCCAUCACAUUAGGAAACGCAAAACAAGAGCAGCAUGCGCUUUCUGUCUCCGAGUACAACAACUUGUGUGAGACAUGCUUUCUUUUUUUGCGCUCUACUGAAACAACUAUCAAGGGCAUAAGUACAAAACAAAAAAGAAUUCAGCAAAAAUGUCUAGUUUUCCUCUCAGCAGUCACCACCUCAUCAGCUUCCCCAGAAGUCAACCUAGUUUUUGGCUUACACCCGUGUCCGGAGAUGAUGGGACAACUGCCACUGCCGGGACUCCGCGGAGCCACCAAGGAUCCCUUUUCAGGACAUAACUUUACAGCUCUGUGCCGCAGCCAGCACCCAGGGCCAUUGCGUCAUACACUUCCCAGGGCCAUUUCGCGGAAGGAGUGAUGGGGGAGGCGCAGAGAACAAUGCCUUGUGAAGGUUCCAUGCCGCGACAGUGACAAGUCUGGCAUAAGAAUCCAAGAAUCCUGACUGUCAAUAGCAGGCGUGUAAUGCACACCAGACAAGUAUCUCCUCAUCCAUCCAUUGUCCUUAACUCCGUUCUCCCUCUGAAAGUCAAGAAUUGCCAAAGCCAAGAAUUGUGUUUGAGCAAAGCCUUCUCUCAGGCCCCUUUAACACUCACAAACCACUCAUGGAGACACUGUAAUUGAUGCUGUGGCUGUAGACAUGUGAAACUCCAGUAAAAUAUGCUGAGAAUACAGACUGUUCUGUACUGUCCAUUUUUGUAAGCCCAGUAAUGAGUCCCUAAGAGACAGCCAAUAAAGCCCAAUUAUUCCAUCC